AGAGUUUGAUCCUGGCUCAGAGUGAACGCUGGCGGCGUGCUUAACACAUGCAAGUCGAACGAGAACAGAAGAGAGCUUGCUCUCUUGCUGCUAAGUGGCGCACGGGUGAGUAAUAUAUAGGUAAUAUGCCUCUUACUAAGGGAUAAUUGUUGGAAACGACUUGUAAUACCUUAUAUGCCUUUUGAACAUAAGUUCGUAAAGGGAAAGAUUUAUCGGUAAGAGAUUAGCCUGUACGGUAUCAGAUAGUUGGUGGGGUAAUGGCCUACCAAGUCUAUGACACCUAACUGGUUUGAGAGGAUGAUCAGUCACACUGGAACUGAGACACGGUCCAGACUCCUACGGGAGGCAGCAGUGGGGAAUAUUGCACAAUGGACGAAAGUCUGAUGCAGCAACGCCGCGUGGAGGAUGACACAUUUCGGUGCGUAAACUCCUUUUAUAUGAGAAGAUAAUGACGGUAUCAUAUGAAUAAGCACCGGCUAACUCCGUGCCAGCAGCCGCGGUAAUACGGGGGGUGCAAGCGUUACUCGGAAUCACUGGGCGUAAAGAGCAUGUAGGCGGGUGGAUAAGUUGGAAGUGAAAUCCUAUAGCUUAACUAUAGAACUGCUUCCAAAACUGUUCACCUAGAGUAUGGGAGAGGUAGAUGGAAUUUCUGGUGUAGGGGUAAAAUCCGUAGAGAUCAGAAGGAAUACCGAUUGCGAAGGCGAUCUACUGGAACAUUACUGACGCUCAGAUGCGAAAGCGUGGGGAGCAAACAGGAUUAGAUACCCUGGUAGUCCACGCCCUAAACGAUGUACACUAGUUGUUGCUAUACUAGAUAUGGCAGUAAUGCAGU
rnacentral:rRNA from 1 species